rnacentral:rRNA from 1 species
GACGAACGCUGGCGGCGUGCCUAAUACAUGCAAGUAGAACGCUGAAGAGAGGAGCUUGCUCUUCUUGGAUGAGUUGCGAACGGGUGAGUAACGCGUAGGUAACCUGCCUUGUAGCGGGGGAUAACUAUUGGAAACGAUAGCUAAUACCGCAUAACAAUGGAUGACACAUGUCAUUUAUUUGAAAGGGGCAAUUGCUCCACUACAAGAUGGACCUGCGUUGUAUUAGCUAGUAGGUGAGGUAAUGGCUCACCUAGGCGACGAUACAUAGCCGACCUGAGAGGGUGAUCGGCCACACUGGGACUGAGACACGGCCCAGACUCCUACGGGAGGCAGCAGUAGGGAAUCUUCGGCAAUGGGGGCAACCCUGACCGAGCAACGCCGCGUGAGUGAAGAAGGUUUUCGGAUCGUAAAGCUCUGUUGUAGGUCAAGAACGGGUGUGAGAGUGGAAAGUUCACACUGUGACGGUAGCUUACCAGAAAGGGACGGCUAACUACGUGCCAGCAGCCGCGGUAAUACGUAGGUCCCGAGCGUUGUCCGGAUUUAUUGGGCGUAAAGCGAGCGCAGGCGGUUUGAUAAGUCUGAAGUUAAAGGCUGUGGCUCAACCAUAGUUCGCUUUGGAAACUGUCAAACUUGAGUGCAGAAGGGGAGAGUGGAAUUCCAUGUGUAGCGGUGAAAUGCGUAGAUAUAUGGAGGAACACCGGUGGCGAAAGCGGCUCUCUGGUCUGUAACUGACGCUGAGGCUCGAAAGCGUGGGGAGCGAACAGGAUUAGAUACCCUGGUAGUCCACGCCGUAAACGAUGAGUGCUAGGUGUUGGAUCCUUUCCGGGAUUCAGUGCCGCAGCUAACGCAUUAAGCACUCCGCCUGGGGAGUACGACCGCAAGGUUGAAACUCAAAGGAAUUGACGGGGGCCCGCACAAGCGGUGGAGCAUGUGGUUUAAUUCGAAGCAACGCGAAGAACCUUACCAGGUCUUGACAUCCCGAUGCUAUUUCUAGAGAUAGAAGGUUACUUCGGUACAUCGGUGACAGGUGGUGCAUGGUUGUCGUCAGCUCGUGUCGUGAGAUGUUGGGUUAAGUCCCGCAACGAGCGCAACCCCUAUUGUUAGUUGCCAUCAUUCAGUUGGGCACUCUAGCGAGACUGCCGGUAAUAAACCGGAGGAAGGUGGGGGUGACGUCAAAUCAUCAUGCCCCUUAUGACCUGGGCUACACACGUGCUACAAUGGUUGGUACAACGAGUUGCGAGUCGGUGACGGCGAGCUAAUCUCUUAAAGCCAAUCUCAGUUCGGAUUGUAGGCUGCAACUCGCCUACAUGAAGUCGGAAUCGCUAGUAAUCGCGGAUCAGCACGCCGCGGUGAAUACGUUCCCGGGCCU